rnacentral:rRNA from 1 species
CCUACGGCCGAUUAGCUAGUUGUGGAGUAAAGGCUCACCAAGGCGAUGAUCGGUAGCUGGUCUGAGAGGAUGGCCAGCCACACUGGAACUGAGACACGGUCCAGACUCCUACGGGAGGCAGCAGUGGGGAAUCUUGCGCAAUGGACGAAAGUCUGACGCAGCGACGCCGCGUGGGUGACGAAGGCCUUCGGGUUGUAAAGCCCUGUGGGGAGAGACGAACCGGCAUCUGGCUAACAUCCAGGUGCUCUGACGGUAUCUCCUUAGCAAGCAUCGGCUAACUCUGUGCCAGCAGCCGCGGUAAGACAGAGGAUGCAAACGUUGCUCGGAAUUACUGGGCGUAAAGCGCGCGCAGGCGGUCCCGUAAGUCGGGUGUGAAAGCCCCGGGGCUCAACCCGGGAAGUGCACUCGAUACUGCGAGACUGGAGUACUGGAGAGGAGAGCGGAAUUCUCGGUGUAGAGGUGAAAUUCGUAGAUAUCGGGAGGAACACCAGCGGCGAAG